rnacentral:siRNA from 1 species
CUUUAGGAAUUAUUGUUGGUC